UACGGGGGGGGUAAGCGUUGUUCGGAAUUACUGGGCGUAAAGGGCUCGUAGGCGGCCAACUAAGUCAUACGUGAAAUCCCUCAGCUUAACUGGGGAACUGCGUGUGAUACUGGAUGGCUUGGAUUUGGGAGAGGGAUGCGGAAUUCCAGGUGUAGCGGUGAAAUGCGUAGAUAUCUGGAGGAGCACCGGUGGCGAAGGCGGCAUCCUGGACCGGCAUUGACGCUGAGGAGCGAAAGCCAGGGGAGCAAACGGG
rnacentral:rRNA from 1 species